rnacentral:rRNA from 1 species
AACGAACGCUGGCGGCAUGCCUAACACAUGCAAGUCGAACGAGACCUUCGGGUCUAGUGGCGCACGGGUGCGUAACGCGUGGGAACCUGCCCUUAGGUUCGGAAUAACUCCCCGAAAGGGGUGCUAAUACCGGAUAAUGUCUUCGGACCAAAGAUUUAUCGCCAUUGGAUGGACCCGCGUUGGAUUAGCUAGUUGGUAGGGUAAAAGCCUACCAAGGCGACGAUCCAUAGCUGGUCUGAGAGGAUGAUCAGCCACACUGGGACUGAGACACGGCCCAGACUCCUACGGGAGGCAGCAGUGGGGAAUAUUGGAAAAUGGGCGGAAGGCUGAUGCAGCAAUGCCGCGUGAGUGAUGAAGGCCUUAGGGUUGUAAAGCUCUUUUAACCGGGAUGAUAAUGACAGUACCGGGAGAAUAAGCUCCGGCUAACUCCGUG